rnacentral:rRNA from 1 species
UACGUAGGGGGCAAGCGUUGUCCGGAUUUACUGGGCGUAAAGAGCGUGUAGGCGGCCAGGCAGGUCUGUUGUGAAAACUGGAGGCUCAACUUCCAGACGUCGACAGAAACCGCUUGGCUAGAGUCCGGAAGAGGAGAGUGGAAUUCCUGGUGUAGCGGUGAAAUGCGCAGAUAUCGGGAGGAACACCAAUGGCGAAGGCAGCUCGCUGGGACGUUACUGACGCUGAGACGCGAAAGCGUGGGGAGCAAACAGG